GAGUUUGAUUAUGGCUCAGAUUGAACGCUGGCGGCAUGCCUUACACAUGCAAGUCGAACGGCAGCACGGGAGCAAUCCUGGUGGCGAGUGGCGAACGGGUGAGUAAUAUAUCGGAACGUGCCCAGUCGUGGGGGAUAACGUAGCGAAAGCUACGCUAAUACCGCAUACGAUCUACGGAUGAAAGCGGGGGAUCGCAAGACCUCGCGCGAUUGGAGCGGCCGAUAUCAGAUUAGCUAGUUGGUGGGGUAAAAGCCCACCAAGGCGACGAUCUGUAGCUGGUCUGAGAGGACGACCAGCCACACUGGAACUGAGACACGGUCCAGACUCCUACGGGAGGCAGCAGUGGGGAAUUUUGGACAAUGGGCGAAAGCCUGAUCCAGCAAUGCCGCGUGCAGGACGAAGGCCUUCGGGUUGUAAACUGCUUUUGUACGGAACGAAACGGUCUCUUUUAAUACAGGGGGCUAAUGACGGUACCGUAAGAAUAAGCACCGGCUAACUACGUGCCAGCAGCCGCGGUAAUACGUAGGGUGCAAGCGUUAAUCGGAAUUACUGGGCGUAAAGCGUGCGCAGGCGGUUAUAUAAGACAGAUGUGAAAUC
rnacentral:rRNA from 1 species